rnacentral:rRNA from 1 species
UAGGGAAUCUUCCGCAAUGGACGCAAGUCUGACGGAGCAACGCCGCGUGAGUGAAGAAGGAUUUCGGUUCGUAAAACUCUGUUGUUAGAGAAGAACAGCGCAUAGAGUAACUGUUAUGCGUGUGACGGUAUCUAACCAGAAAGCCACGGCUAACUACGUGCCAGCAGCCGCGGUAAUACGUAGGUGGCAAGCGUUGUCCGGAUUUAUUGGGCGUAAAGCGAGCGCAGGCGGUCAAUUAAGUCUGAUGUGAAAGCCCCCGGCUCAACCGGGGAGGGUCAUUGGAACCUGGUUGACUUGAGUGCAGAAGAGGAGAGUGGAAUUCCAUGUGUAACGGUGAAAUGCGUAGAUAUAUGGAGGAACACCAGUGGCGAAGGCGACUCUCUGGUCUGUAACUGACGCUGAGGCUCGAAAGCGUGGGUAGCAAACAGG